rnacentral:rRNA from 1 species
UCCGUUGGUGAACCAGCGGAGGGAUCAUUACCGAGUUUACAACUCCCAAACCCCUGUGAACAUACCUUAAUGUUGCCUCGGCGGAUCAGCCCGCGCCCCGUAAAACGGGACGGCCCGCCAGAGGACCCAAACUCUAAUGUUUCUUAUUGUAACUUCUGAGUAAAACAAACAAAUAAAUCAAAACUUUCAACAACGGAUCUCUUGGUUCUGGCAUCGAUGAAGAACGCAGCAAAAUGCGAUAAGUAAUGUGAAUUGCAGAAUUCAGUGAAUCAUCGAAUCUUUGAACGCACAUUGCGCCCGCUGGUAUUCCGGCGGGCAUGCCUGUUCGAGCGUCAUUUCAACCCUCAAGCCCCCGGGUUUGGUGUUGGGGAUCGGCUCUGCCUUCUGGCGGUGCCGCCCCCGAAAUACAUUGGCGGUCUCGCUGCAGCCUCCAUUGCGUAGUAGCUAACACCUCGCAACUGGAACGCGGCGCGGCCAUGCCGUAAAACCCCAACUUCUGAAUGUUGACCUCGGAUCAGGUAGGAAUACCCGCUGAA